rnacentral:misc_RNA from 1 species
UUGAUCCAAAUCAACCAUCUUUAUGGCCUGAAAAUUCAAAGAAAUGUGAAACCUUUGCCAUUCAGCAAUUAUAGCCAUCAAAAGAAUUAUAAAUACCAGCUGCCCGUCAACUGUGAUAACUCAUCAUCAAGCAGGGGCCACUAAGUGGAAUCUGGUGACUUUAGGUAGACUAAGGAUACUCAAACCUUUUAAUUAGAGGCAUG